rnacentral:rRNA from 1 species
GAUGAACGCUGGCGGCGUGCUUAACACAUGCAAGUCGAACGGUGAAGGCGGAGCUUGCUCUGCUGGAUCAGUGGCGAACGGGUGAGUAACACGUGAGCAAUCUGCCCCUGACUCUGGGAUAAGCGCUGGAAACGGCGUCUAAUACUGGAUACGAGCUGCGAAGGCAUCUUCAGCAGCUGGAAAGAACUUCGGUCAGGGAUGAGCUCGCGGCCUAUCAGCGUGUUGGUGAGGUAACGGCUCACCAAGGCGUCGACGGGUAGCCGGCCUGAGAGGGUGACCGGCCACACUGGGACUGAGACACGGCCCAGACUCCUACGGGAGGCAGCAGUGGGGAAUAUUGCACAAUGGGCGAAAGCCGGAUGCAGCAACGCCGCGUGAGGGACGACGGCCUUCGGGUUGUAAACCUCUUUUAGCAGGGAAGAAGCGAAAGUGACGGUACCUGCAGAAAAAGCGCCGGCUAACUACGUG